GCCUCGGUGGUUGGGUGUUAGUAAUCUCGCCUGCCACGCGGGCGGCCUGGGUUCGAUUCCCGGCGGAUGCA